rnacentral:tRNA from 1 species
GCGAGGUGGCGGAAUUGGUAGACGCGCUAGCUUCAGGUGUUAGUGUUCUUACGGACGUGGGGGUUCAAGUCCCCCCCCUCGCACCA